CAAGUCGAACGGGUCCGCAAGGACCAGUGGCGGAAGGGUGAGUAAUACGAUCCUACGUACCUCGAGGUAGUGGAUAGCCGUGGGAAACUGCGGGUAAUACACUAUGAUCUCUCCGGAGCAAAGAUUUAUCGCCUUGAGAUCGGGGAUCGUCCUAUCAGGUAGUUGGUAGGGUAAUGGCCUACCAAGCCUAAGACGGGUAGCAGGUGUGAGAGCACGGCCUGCCACAUCGGGACUGAGACACUGCCCGGACUCCUACGGGAGGCUGCAGCGACGAAUCUUCCGCAAUGGGCGCAAGCCUGACGGAGCGACGCCGCGUGCGGGAUGAAGCGCCUUUGGCGUGUAAACCGCUGUCAGGGAAUAGAAACCAUGAUCUUUCCCAGAGGAAGGGGCGACUAACUCUGUGCCAGCAGUCGCGGUAAGACAGAGGCCCCGAGCGUUAGUCGGAAUCACUGGGCUUAAAGGGUGCGUAGGCGGAUCGAUAAGUGUUGUGUGAAAGCCCACUGCUCAACGGUGGAACCGCACAGCAAACUGUCGGUCUUGAGGAAUCUAGAGGUCGCUAGAACGGUUGGUGGAGCGGUGGAAUGCGUAGAUAUCAACCGGAAUGCCGAAGGUGAAGACAGGCGACUGGGGAUUUCCUGACGCUGAGGCACGAAAGCGUGGGGAGCAAACAGGAUUAGAUACCCUGGUAGUCCACGCCCUAAAUGAUGUACGCUUGAUUACGACGGCUCUGACGCCGCCGGGAUCGUAGAGAAAUUGCUAAGCGUACCGCCUGGGGAGUACGGUCGCAAGACUAAAACUCAAAGAAAUUGACGG
rnacentral:rRNA from 1 species